rnacentral:rRNA from 1 species
GAUGAACGCUGGCGGCGUGCCUAAUACAUGCAAGUCGAGCGAACAGACGAGGAGCUUGCUCCUCUGACGUUAGCGGCGGACGGGUGAGUAACACGUGGAUAACCUACCUAUAAGACUGGGAUAACUUCGGGAAACCGGAGCUAAUACCGGAUAAUAUAUUGAACUGCAUGGUUCAAUAGUGAAAGACGGUUUUGCUGUCACUUAUAGAUGGAUCCGCGCCGCAUUAGCUAGUUGGUAAGGUAACGGCUUACCAAGGCAACGAUGCGUAGCCGACCUGAGAGGGUGAUCGGCCACACUGGACCUGAGACACGGUCCAGACUCCUACGGGAGGCAGCAGUAGGGAAUCUUCCGCAAUGGGCGAAAGCCUGACGGAGCAACGCCGCGUGAAUGAUGAAGGUCUUCGGAUCGUAAAACUCUGUUAUUAGGGAAGAACAAAUGUGUAAGUAACUAUGCACGUCUUGACGGUACCUAAUCAGAAAGCCACGGCUAACUACGUG